rnacentral:rRNA from 1 species
CACCGAAGCUGCGGCAGCGACGCUGAUACGUUCGUUGGGUAGGGGAGCGUUCUGUAAGCCUGUGAAGGUGUCCUGUGAGGGUUGCUGGAGGUAUCAGAAGUGCGAAUGCUGACAUAAGUAACGAUAAAGCGGGUGAAAAGCCCGCUCGCCGGAAGACCAAGGGUUCCUGUCCAACGUUAAUCGGGGCAGGGUGAGUCGACCCCUAAGGCGAGGCCGAAAGGCGUAGUCGAUGGGAAACGGGUUAAUAUUCCCGUACUUGGUGUUACUGCGAAGGGGGGACGGAGAAGGCUAUGUUGGCCGGGCGACGGUUGUCCCGGUUUAAGCGUGUAGGUGUGUGUUCCAGGUAAAUCCGGUUCACUUUAACACUGAGGCGUGACGACGAGGCACUACGGUGCUGAAGCAACAAAUGCCCUGCUUCCAGGAAAAGCCUCUAAGCAUCAGGUAACAUCAAAUCGUACCCCAAACCGACACAGGUGGUCAGGUAGAGAAUACCAAGGCGCUUGAGAGAACUCGGGUGAAGGAACUAGGCAAAAUGGUGCCGUAACUUCGGGAGAAGGCACGCUGACACGUAGGUGAAGUGAUUUACUCAUGGAGCUGAAGUCAGUCGAAGAUACCAGCUGGCUGCAACUGUUUAUUAAAAACACAGCACUGUGCAAACACGAAAGUGGACGUAUACGGUGUGACGCCUGCCCGGUGCCGGAAGGUUAAUUGAUGGGGUCAGCGCAAGCGAAGCUCCUGAUCGAAGCCCCGGUAAACGGCGGCCGUAACUAUAACGGUCCUAAGGUAGCGAAAUUCCUUGUCGGGUAAGUUCCGACCUGCACGAAUGGCGUAAUGAUGGCCAGGCUGUCUCCACCCGAGACUCAGUGAAAUUGAACUCGCUGUGAAGAUGCAGUGUACCCGCGGCAAGACGGAAAGACCCCGUGAACCUUUACUAUAGCUUGACACUGAACAUUGAGCCUUGAUGUGUAGGAUAGGUGGGAGGCUUUGAAGUGUGGACGCCAGUCUGCAUGGAGCCGACCUUGAAAUACCACCCUUUAAUGUUUGAUGUUCUAACGUGGACCCGUAAUCCGGGUUGCGGACAGUGUCUGGUGGGUAGUUUGACUGGGGCGGUCUCCUCCUAAAGAGUAACGGAGGAGCACGAAGGUUGGCUAAUCCUGGUCGGACAUCAGGAGGUUAGUGCAAUGGCAUAAGCCAGCUUGACUGCGAGCGUGACGGCGCGAGCAGGUGCGAAAGCAGGUCAUAGUGAUCCGGUGGUUCUGAAUGGAAGGGCCAUCGCUCAACGGAUAAAAGGUACUCCGGGGAUAACAGGCUGAUACCGCCCAAGAGUUCAUAUCGACGGCGGUGUUUGGCACCUCGAUGUCGGCUCAUCACAUCCUGGGGCUGAAGUAGGUCCCAAGGGUAUGGCUGUUCGCCAUUUAAAGUGGUACGCGAGCUGGGUUUAGAACGUCGUGAGACAGUUCGGUCCCUAUCUGCCGUGGGCGCUGGAGAACUGAGGGGGGCUGCUCCUAGUACGAGAGGACCGGAGUGGACGCAUCACUGGUGUUCGGGUUGUCAUGCCAAUGGCACUGCCCGGUAGCUAAAUGCGGAAGAGAUAAGUGCUGAAAGCAUCUAAGCACGAAACUUGCCCCGAGAUGAGUUCUCCCUGAGACUU